rnacentral:lncRNA from 12 species
GCUUGCACCCUGAAAGCAUCUACCAGGAUCUAAGCUUCCCCACAGUGAUGAUUCAGGAGAAAAACCAAUGACAAAAUCCCUGGAAAUAAACUGAUUUCUUGCCCAUGAGCCAGAAAAUGGUGCUCAGGUGUCUUGCUUGGUGGAUUUCAGCUUAGCAGGGGUUUGUUUGUGUGGUGGUGUGGGAUAGCAGAAGCUAUAAGGAAGUAGAGAGAAAUCUAUUUUUCAGAUUUCAUUUCUGCCUGGGAUCUCGUACCAAAUAUAUUUUCUCACCAGCAAGAUCAAAGGGAUGGUACACCCAACAUCACUCAUGGCAUCUUGCUGGACAGAGGGGAGGAGAGGGAAAUAAAUCAAAGUAUUUGCUACCACAGCCAUUUGCGUCUGAGAGGAGAGGAUGACAUAAAUCUUCACUGUGAGCUAGGGCUUGAAAUAGGGUGAGAAGUUAUUGCAAAAUGAAUAUUCAAUCAGGAAUGUUGGUGGCCUCGUUUUUUCAAGAGUGGAGUUAGUCUAGUGGAAUGGAGUUAUGGAUCUGAUUACCUUUUAGGACAAACCCAAGAACCCUGCUCUGAGGUUUGGGGCUUCUUCCCUCUUCCCAUCCAAUUUAUUUUCCACUGACAUCUCCUAAGGGCUAACCAUGUACCAGGCACUGGGCUACCUACCAGAGGAUAUGGGGUAAUGGACUCCAUAUAGCAUCUACCCUCAGGAGUGUGGAGAGCCCCGCACCCAGCCUGGGAGUUCAGGGACAGCCUCUCUGAGGAAGUGAUGUUUGAACCAAGAUCUGAAGGGGCUUUUCUGGUCGUGUCAUCUGUUGGCCUAGUUUCCUGCUGUCCCUAUGUAUUUCCCCAGAACUAUAUGCUCUUUGGAGUUGGAGUUUUACCAACUGUCUGAGGUUAAGCCUAUCAAAGGGGCAAGAUUUUUCUUUUCUGGAGGUCAUGCUUCCUUCUGGAGUGGCUGCAAUUCGGGACAAUUGAGAAGGGCCAGUGCAUCUUCAGAGCUGCCCAUGGGAUUGGCUGAGACCUCUGUUGAAACUGCCUUGCAGGUCAGUUCUCGCUCGGUCUACUCCUGCUUCCGUCGUUCCCUUUCCCAUGUGUGGGCUCCGAGAGCACUGCCUGCUGGUAAUCUCCAGCUCAGAAUCUGCCCCUCGAGAGAGCCCCACCUGGGACGGUGA